rnacentral:lncRNA from 1 species
AAUCACAAAUUCUGGAAAUGAUUAGUGGGCUGUCAUCACUCAGCCCCACCGGAUAUUGAUCACGGGGCAUUUCCGUCCCCUGUAAUUGAUCGUGUGCAGGGCUGCCUAGCUCUGCACCGGGCAGGGGAGAAGUGAGUGAGAGCUGGGUGUAGUGUUUCCGUCCGCCUACCUCGCUCACAGCUCAGCUGGGAAAACUGCUGGACCAAGAACAGGGCAAAGAAUAAAUUCAUUCAUGGCUAAAGGCUGGCAUCCUGGCAGCACCUGGGACUUUGGCUUCAUUUCUUAAGCAGACCCUUGGUCCCUUGGAGAAGGUCAGCAGCAAGGAGCCUUCUCUGGCUGGCUUUUCUGUGCAGACACAAGGCAAGUGGCCAGCUACUGGUGUGAUGCCUACGUAGCACCAGACCAUUGAGAUGUGGCACAGGAUUCCUGAGGUGAUGGGCUGAAUCGCGAGAGUGGAGUGGUGCUGGAUGGUGAGAGGCUUUCUCUG